AGAAUGGGAGGUUCAUGUAUUUAAUCCCAGUGGCUUGGGAGUGUGAGGCAGGAGGAUCAUAAGCUCAAAGCCAGUCUCAAUAAAUUAGUGAGAUCCUGUCUGAAAAAAUAAGAUCUCUGAAUGUGACUCAGUGGUUAAGCUCCCCAGGGUUCACUCUGCAGUUCCAAGGGGAAGAUAAGAAUUUUACAAAUGGGAAAUAACAUUUUUGAAAUAAUACAAGUUACAUAAUUUUAGCUUCAACUUAAAAGUUUACUCCUAUUCUCAGACUUUAUUUACAGGACAUUCUGCUAUUUUUUUUCUUGAAAACAUGGUACUUAAACAAAUCUGACUUUUUCAAAUGUGAAAAUAGAAUCCACUGAUAGUUAGCUGCCAAUUCCUGAUAGUAUUUAGUUGUAAGUUCCACAAAUACAGAAAUGUUUUUUGUUUGUUUUUAGUACUGGAAAUUGAACACAGAGCCUUGCACAUGUUAGACAAGCACUUAACUGUGAGCUUUAUUCCAGCCCAGAAAGUGUUUUUAAAGAUUGUCUUGUCUAUGUUAUCUAGCAUAGUGAUGGUAUAUAGUAAAUUGUCAUUAAAUGUUUGUUUAAUUAUUAUAAUUAAAUAUCAACAACCUAAAGCUUUCAACUACACAACAGUCCUUAAAUCCUACAAUCCAAUAGUGACAUCAGUUUAUGUUAGUAGCAAGAUGGAGAUGGGAACCAGGGCCACAGUGCAGUGAUCCCUGGCUGGUAACUGAAACCUCAGGAUGCAAGCUGCAUCAGCACAGCGCACUGCCAUGUGUAUGGACACAUGUUUGGAAACAGCCCACUAGAAUCAAGGUCUAUUUACCCUACAGUCUUAGGUUCAGAGUUAGAAAGGACUUUCCACAUGAUUUAAACCAACAUUCUUUCCCCAGAAGUAUUUCUCUUUACAGUGUAUUAAACAUGGCUGCUAUGGUCUGACUAUGUUCUUCCCAAAUGUAUAUGUUGUGACAAUCACCAUUGUGACAGCAGCAAAAGGGACAAUGAGACUUACUAUACUCUCAAAAUCAACUUAAAUAAAUUAUUUCUCAAUUCUAAUGACAUAUACGUUUUCACUGGCUAAUAGUACAGGUAGAAAAAGUAUGUAAUGUGAUUUAUAAGUCAAAACGUGUGAUUAGGUCAUGGAGCUCUAUAUUUUUUAACAGAAUGAAUGCCCUUAUAUAAGAGGCUUCACACAUCAUUCACAUCCUUUUUCCCCCUUCUGCUUUCUGUCAACUGAUGAUGCAGCAAUACACGCCACCUUGGACAAUGUGAAUAUACAUAGUGUUACUUAACUGUACACUUCAAAAUGGUCUAAAUGGCAAAUUGUAAGUGUAUUUUACAAUAAAAACAUCCAAAGAUGCAUUUUCUAUUAUUCAGUGUUCCCUGCUAUUAUUUAGUAAUCAUAUUCAUUAAGAGCACUAACCAGCCAGGCACAGUGGCUCAUGCCUGUAAUCCCAUUGGGAGGCUGAGGCAGGAGAAUUGCAAGUUCAAAGCCAGCCUCAGCAAAAGCAAAAGCAAGGUGCUAAGAAAUUCAGUGAGAUCCUACUCUAAAUAAAAACAAAAUAGGGUUGUGUAUGUGGCUCUCUGGUACCCCAAAAAAGAAGCACUAAUCAAAAUUUCACAACCCUGUAUUUGAGAUUCAAUUCUGCUUGCUGCAUCUCUGAAAACUAAAAGCAUGUCACUUAGCUAAGCCUCAGUUUCCUCACAUGUAACACAGGAAUUAUAAUAUGCUUACUUACCCAUUAGAGGUUGCUGUGAAAUUUCAACUUGGUAAAGUCUAAAUAGACAAAGCUCAAUAAAUGCUAGCUCUGAUUUUAUUUUUAAGUUUUCAAACCAAUAUGAUUCUUGUACUUUGUAUAAGGAAGGCUAAAAAAUGGCUUUAGCAUUAAAAAGGCCAUUUGUUCAUUUCUCCUUAGUCCUUAAUGUUAUGGAGAACUAUAAAACAACAUGCCCUAAAACCCAUUUCAUAUCAUAGUCAAGUGAUGAGCCCAUGUGUUGACCACUGAGUCAACAGUUAAUAAUCUUAAAGUAUCAUACUCCAAGAGGCAACAAUUUCAGAGAAGCCACAAUAACUUAUUGUACUUGAAAUAAUUUACAUAUAAUAAUGUGUGUAUAAACCUGUACAUAUAAUUUUUAUCAAGUAUAAUAUGAUCAUACAAAAACAUUGACUCACAAUAUAGUUCACACAUACCAAAGAAGGCUGUUUUAUUUUUAUCUCUUUUACAUCAUAUUUUAGGCAAGAUGAUGAAACCCAGAAAAUAACAGGAAUGGACUAGUUUAUAAAAACUGGGUAUUUUAUAAGUGAAACACAUUCAGUCAUCUACAUCUCUCAAAUUGCAAACAAUGUGACUUACUAUACUCUCAAAAUGAACUUAAAUAAAUUAUUGCUCAAUUCUAAUGACAUAUACGUUUUCACUGGUUGAUAGUCCAGGUAAAAAAAGUAUGUAAAGUGAUUUAUAAUUCAAAACAUUUCAUACAAAAGGAUUUUGGGGGGGGGGGUACUGAAAAUUGAACUAAGGGACACUCAACCAUUGAGCCACACCCCCAGUCUUAUUCUGAAUUUUAUUUAA
rnacentral:lncRNA from 1 species